rnacentral:rRNA from 1 species
UACGUAGGGGGGCAAGCGUUGUCCGGAAUUAUUGGGCGUAAAGCGCGUGUAGGCGGCUCGGUAAGUCUGCUGUGAAAGUCCAGGGCUCAACCCUGGGAUGCCGGUGGAUACUGUCGAGCUCGAGUCCGGAAGAGGCGAGUGGAAUUCCUGGUGUAGCGGUGAAAUGCGCAGAUAUCAGGAGGAACACCUAUGGCGAAGGCAGCUCGCUGGGACGUGACUGACGCUGAGACGCGAAAGCGUGGGGAGCAAACAGG